rnacentral:rRNA from 1 species
UACGUAGGGUGCAAGCGUUAAUCGGAAUUACUGGGCGUAAAGCGUGCGCAGGCGGCUUUGCAAGACAGAUGUGAAAUCCCCGGGCUCAACCUGGGAAUUGCAUUCGAAACUGCGAGGCUAGGGUACGGAAGAGGGAAGCGGAAUUUCUGGUGUAGCGGUGAAAUGCGUAGAUAUCAGAAGGAACACCUGUGGUGUAGACGGCUUACUGGACCGCAACUGACGCUGAGACACGAAAGCGUGGGUAGCAAACAGG